GACGAACGCUGGCGGCGUGCUUAACACAUGCAAGUCGAACGGAAAGGCCCUGCUUUUGUGGGGUGCUCGAGUGGCGAACGGGUGAGUAACACGUGAGUAACCUGCCCUUGACUUUGGGAUAACUUCAGGAAACUGGGGCUAAUACCGGAUAGGAGCUCCUGCUGCAUGGUGGGGGUUGGAAAGUUUCGGCGGUUGGGGAUGGACUCGCGGCUUAUCAGCUUGUUGGUGGGGUAGUGGCUUACCAAGGCUUUGACGGGUAGCCGGCCUGAGAGGGUGACCGGCCACAUGGGGACUGGGAUACGGCCCAGACUCCUACGGGAGGCAGCAGUGGGGAAUAUUGCACAAUGGGCGGAAGCCUGAUGCAGCAACGCCGCGUGUGGGAUGACGGCCUUCGGGUUGUAAACCGCUUUCGCCUGUGACGAAGCGUGAGUGACGGUAAUGGGUAAGAAGCACCGGCUAACUACGU
rnacentral:rRNA from 1 species